rnacentral:rRNA from 1 species
AGCGAACGCUGGCGGCAUGCCUAACACAUGCAAGUCGCACGGGGGGGCUUCGGCCUCCCAGUGGCGGACGGGUGAGGAACGCGUAGGGACCUGUCGAGGGGUGGGGGAUAACCGCGGGAAACUGCGGCUAAACCGCAUGACGCCGCGGCGUGAUAGCCGGGGCCAAAGGCGAAAGCCGCCCGCCGAGGGGCCUGCGUCCGAUUAGCUGGUUGGCGGGGUAGCGGCCCACCAAGGCGUCGAUCGGUAGCUGGUCUGAGAGGGUGAUCAGCCACACCGGGACUGAGACACGGCCCGGACUCCUACGGGAGGCAGCAGUGGGGAAUAUUGGACAAUGGGCGCAAGCCUGAUCCAGCAAUGCCGCGUGGGUGAAGAAGGUCUUCGGAUUGUAAAGCCCUUUCGGCGGGGACGAUGGUGACGGUACCCGCAGAAGAAGCCCCGGCUAACUUCGUG